rnacentral:rRNA from 1 species
AUUGAACGCUGGCGACAUGCCUUACACAUGCAAGUCGAACGGCAGCACGGGUGCUUGCCCCUGGUGGCGAGUGGCGAACGGGUGAGUAAUACAUCGGAACAUGUCCCGUAGUGGGGGAUAGCCCGGCGAAAGCCGGAUUAAUACCGCCUACGAUCUACGGAUGAAAGCGGGGGACAUUCGGGCCUCGCGCUAUAGGGUUGGCCGAUGGCUGAUUAGCUAGUUGGUGGGGUAAAGGCCUACCAAGGCGACGAUCAGUAGCUGGUCUGAGAGGACGACCAGCCACACUGGGACUGAGACACGGUCCAGACUCCUACGGGAGGCAGCAGUGGGGAAUUUUGGACAAUGGGCGAAAGCCUGAUCCAGCAAUGCCGCGUGUGUGAAGAAGGCCUUCGGGUUGUAAAGCACUUUUGUCCGGAAAGAAAUCCUUGGCCCUAAUACGGUCGGGGGAUGACGGUACCGGAAGAAUAAGCACCGGCUAACUACGUG